rnacentral:rRNA from 1 species
CCUACGGGAGGCUGCAGUGGGGAAUAUUGGACAAUGGGCGAAAGCCUGAUCCAGCCAUGCCGCGUGUGUGAAGAAGGCCUUCGGGUUGUAAAGCACUUUCAGUGGGGAAGAAAGCCUUGGGGCUAAUACCCUCGAGGAAGGACAUCACCCACAGAAGAAGCACCGGCUAACUCCGUGCCAGCAGCCGCGGUAAUACGGAGGGGGCGAGCGUUAAUCGGAAUUACUGGGCGUAAAGCGCGCGUAGGCGGUCUGAUAAGCCGGUUGUGAAAGCCCCGGGCUCAACCUGGGAACGGCAUCCGGAACUGUCAGGCUAGAGUGCAGGAGAGGAAGGUAGAAUUCCCGGUGUAGCGGUGAAAUGCGUAGAGAUCGGGAGGAAUACCAGUGGCGAAGGCGGCCUUCUGGACUGACACUGACGCUGAGGUGCGAAAGCGUGGGUAGCAAACAGGAUUAGAUACCCGGGUAGUC